ACAGAAUCUCACUCUGAUGCCCAGGCUGGAGUCCAGCGGCAUGAUCGUGGCUCACUGCAGCUUUGACCUCCCGGGCUCAAGAGAUCCUCCCACCUCAGCCUCCUCUGGGACUACAGACGGAAUCUUACUCUGUCACCCAGGCUGGAGGGCAGUGGCUUGAUCUCGGCUCACUGCAACCUCUGCUUCCCAGGUUCAAGCAAUUCUCCUGCCUCAGCCUCCCAAGUAGCUGGGAUUACAGGUGCCCGCAACCACGCCCAGCUAAUUAGCUGAUUCUAUUUAUAAAGGAGACUUAAGUGACUUAAAUGAACACAGUGAGAUCUGGGACAAUGGCACUGAAACCAAAUCGGCAGUGUGGACCCGAACACCCGACAAAUUGCUUAUCCUUUAUGUUCUCAUCUAUUAUCUCAGAAAAAGGGAGAACCAAGGGGAGGAUAAUUUCCACUGACAGCAGUGCUUGCCUAGGUAAGAGCAAAGCUGAAUGUCAUGUGUCAACACAAUUGGUUCGGACAAAUAUUGAGUGACCCUUGUGUCUCAGACCCUUGAUGGAUGUAACUGAAGAUGUUCCUGAUGCAUGACAACAGGACUUAGUUUAGCCUGCUGUUUUCAGACCUCUGGUCUACCUCUAUCCUAUCAGAAUGCCAGUCUUCCAUGGUAAAUUAGACUAAACACCAGGAGCUCCCCACUUCUAAAACUUACAGAGCCCUGAGUUUUCCCACAGAGAACUUGGUGAAUUUCUCCACUGGAACGUGCUGUGUUGGCUGGCAAGUUUAUAGGCUUGGUUUUGUCAUUUUCUUUUUCAUUUCUCAUGUUUUAUAUUUUAUUUUUGCCCCAAC
rnacentral:lncRNA from 1 species